UACGAAGGGGGCUAGCGUUGUUCGGAAUUACUGGGCGUAAAGGGCGCGUAGGCGGUGUGUCAAGUCAGGCGUGAAAGCCCCGGGCUCAACCUGGGAAUCGCGCUUGAGACUGGCACGCUCGAGUUCGGGAGAGGAUGGUGGAAUUCCCAGUGUAGAGGUGAAAUUCGUAGAUAUUGGGAAGAACACCGAUGGCGAAGGCAGCCAUCUGGACCGACACUGACGCUGAGGCGCGAAAGCCAGGGGAGCAAACGGG
rnacentral:rRNA from 1 species